GCAGUCGACGAUGAAGCCUUUCGGGGUGGAUUAGUGGCGAACGGGUGAGUAACACGUGGGCAAUCUGCCCUUCACUCUGGGACAAGCCCUGGAAACGGGGUCUAAUACCGGAUAAUACUUCUGCCUGCAUGGGUGGGGGUUGAAAGCUCCGGCGGUGAAGGAUGAGCCCGCGGCCUAUCAGCUUGUUGGUGGGGUAAUGGCCUACCAAGGCGACGACGGGUAGCCGGCCUGAGAGGGCGACCGGCCACACUGGGACUGAGACACGGCCCAGACUCCUACGGGAGGCAGCAGUGGGGAAUAUUGCACAAUGGGCGAAAGCCUGAUGCAGCGACGCCGCGUGAGGGAUGACGGCCUUCGGGUUGUAAACCUCUUUCAGCAGGGAAGAAGCGCAAGUGACGGUACCUGCAGAAGAAGCGCCGGCUAACUACGUGCCAGCAGCCGCGGUAAUACGUAGGGCGCAAGCGUUGUCCGGAAUUAUUGGGCGUAAAGAGCUCGUAGGCGGCUUGUCACGUCGGAUGUGAAAGCCCGGGGCUUAACCCCGGGUCUGCAUUCGAUACGGGCUAGCUAGAGUGUGGUAGGGGAGAUCGGAAUUCCUGGUGUAGCGGUGAAAUGCGCAGAUAUCAGGAGGAACACCGGUGGCGAAGGCGGAUCUCUGGGCCAUUACUGACGCUGAGGAGCGAAAGCGUGGGGAGCGAACAGGAUUAAAUACCCUGG
rnacentral:rRNA from 1 species